GAUCUUGGUCAGGAUGAACGCUAGCUACAGGCUUAACACAUGCAAGUCGAGGGGCAGCAUGAUCUGUGCUUGCACAGAUUGAUGGCGACCGGCGCACGGGUGAGUAACGCGUAUCCAACCUUCCCCUUAGUAGGGCAUAGCCCGGCGAAAGUCGGAUUAAUACCCUAUGUUUUCCAAUGAGGACAUCUGAGCUGGAAUAAAGAUUUAUCGCUAAGGGAUGGGGAUGCGUCCGAUUAGGUUGUUGGCGGGGUAACGGCCCACCAAGCCCUCGAUCGGUAGGGGUUCUGAGAGGAAGGUCCCCCACACUGGUACUGAGACACGGACCAGACUCCUACGGGAGGCAGCAGUGAGGAAUAUUGGUCAAUGGGCGAGAGCCUGAACCAGCCAAGUAAGCGUGCAGGAUGACGGCCCUAUGGGUUGUAAACUGCUUUUAUACGGGGAUAAAGUGAGGGACGUGUCCCUUAUUGUAGGUACCGUAUGAAUAAGGACCGGCUAAUUCCGUGCCAGCAGCGGC
rnacentral:rRNA from 1 species